GGGUUGGAUACUUGGAGUGUUGGACAGUGCAACCACCCUCACGCGCCCAGCACGUGCCCCCACCCGGACCCCAAAAUUCCCCAAUCCGCCCAGCGGCCCCGGUCUCCGCAGCUUCUCCGUACCCGCACCGCCAAAUCCUCCUCGAAUUCCGCCGAUCCGGUCGCCCCCUCGUCGGAACCGCCCGCCCCGCGCACCUACGAUCCCCGCCGCCGGUGGUCGCCCGCGAGGCGAGUCCAGGCGAGUCGGCGGUCCGUCACCCGCCCCCGCGCCGUCGCCGGCUCUACCAAGGAGAAGAUCCUUAUGAGUUGGUUGGCUGUGAAUUCAUAUAAAUUCUGGUACUGUGAAAAUGGGUCAAAAGGUGGCAGGAAGUUCGUGACGAGAUUAACCAUAGACGAUUGAGGCCUGAGUGGAUUUAGGUAUUCUGUUGUGACAGCUUAAGUGGCUCUUCAACUUGAAGACGUUGCUGUUGCCUUAGGAUAUGCUCUUUUCAGCGAGGAGUACAGCCACACACUCUUAGAUUGUAAUUUUUCUUAAUUGGAUUAGUACAGGAAGAUCAGAUACAGUGAAAAGGGAGCGCAGUCGUGAUGGACAGAGCUGGCGGUAACCAAGCAGGCCAAGUGUCGAAGAAAGGAAAGAAGAAGCACGCGAAAGACGAGUCAGACCGGCAGAAGCAGGCUGAGAAGAAGAGGCGCCGGCUGGAGAAAGCGCUCGCAAACUCUGCUGCCAUCAUCUCGGAGCUGGAGAAGAAGCGGCAGCAGAAACAGGAGGAGCAGAGGAGGCUGGACGAUGAAGGGGCCGCGAUAGCCGAGGCGGUGGCCCUUCAUGUCCUCAUAGGCGAAGACUGCGAUGAACCCCGUCAGCUGAGGUGGAACGGCCAUAGAGGCCGCGGCCAUCGGGACGAUUUCGUGGACCACGAACCGGCUCUAGGCGCGCAAGGAGCAGGAGCAGAUACCUAUCCAUAUGGAAGCCGGUCGCCGCUGGCACGGGCCUCUCGUUCCCACAUGCCCCAGUGGAGGCUCACCGACUGUGGCAUGUCCGGGCCGUUCUCGUUCUCAUCGUGGGAGCGAAUGGGAGAUUUUGAGGGGCUAUACUGCAAAGGGACACCCUGCCAGACAGACCAAGACACUUACUGCCAUGGCCUGGUAGCAGCAACCCAGGCCGCCUCUCCAUUCGGAUACGGUUCGGAGGAUCCAUUCCCUGCCCAUGGAACGGAGGGGGCUUCCUCCAUCAACAUCAUGCUGGGCGGUGGCACCAGCAACAGCCUGAACAUCUACAGAAGACAAUUCUAGAUCAUAGUUACUUUCUUUUUACACCAAAGGUCGAUCUUUUCAUUUGCUGUGAUACUUAGCUUUUCGUCGAGAAACCGAAAGUGGAUAUAGGGAAUAUAGGAGAGCCGUCUUACUGUCGAGUCGAAGAAGCGGUGUGUAUUUGGCGUCAGUUACAGACAGUGGGUUUUUGUGAUGAAUUAUUAAAUAUAUGUUUUUGCUUUUACCAGAGGCUGCUUGAUGU
rnacentral:rRNA from 1 species